rnacentral:rRNA from 1 species
AGCGAACGCUGGCGGCAGGCCUAACACAUGCAAGUCGAGCGCCCCGCAAGGGGAGCGGCAGACGGGAGAGUAACACGUGGGAACGUACCCUUCGGUUCGGAACAACCCAGGGAAACUUGGGCUAAUACCGGAUACGUCCGAAAGGAGAAAGAUUCAUCGCCGAGGGAUCGGCCCGCGUCUGAUUAGCUAGUUGGUGGGGUAACGGCCCACCAAGGCGACGAUCAGUAGCUGGCCUGAGAGGAUGAUCAGCCUCACUGGGACUGAGACACGGCCCAGAGUCCUACGGGAGGCAGCAGUGGGGAAUAUUGGACAAUGGGCGCAAGCCUGAUCCAGCCAUGCCGCGUGGGUGAUGAAGGCCCUAGGGUUGUAAAGCCCUUUCGGCGGGGAAGAUAAUGACGGUACCCGCAGAAGAAGCCCCGGCUAACUUCGUGCCAGCCGCCGCCGUAACAC